CGCGGCCUAUCAGCUUGUUGGUGAGGCAAAGGCUCACCAAGGCGUCGACGGGUAGCCGGCCUGAGAGGGUGACCGGCCACACUGGGACUGAGACACGGCCCAGACUCCUACGGGAGGCAGCAGUGGGGAAUAUUGCACAAUGGGCGCAAGCCUGAUGCAGCAACGCCGCGUGCGGGAUGACGGCCUUCGGGUUGUAAACCGCUUUUAGUAGGGAAGAAGGGCUUCGGCUUGACGGUACCUGCAGAAAAGGGACCGGCUAACUACGUGCCAGCAGCCGCGGUAAUACGUAGGGUCCGAGCGUUGUCCGGAAUUAUUGGGCGUAAAGAGCUCGUAGGCGGUUUGUCGCGUCUGCUGUGAAAUCUGGAGGCUCAACCUCCAGCCUGCAGUGGGUACGGGCAGACUUGAGUGGUGUAGGGGAGACUGGAAUUCCUGGUGUAGCGGUGGAAUGCGCAGAUAUCAGGAGGAACACCGAUGGCGAAGGCAGGUCUCUGGGCACUUACUGACGCUGAGGAGCGAAAGCGUGGGGAGCGAACAGGAUUAGAUACCCUGGUAGUCCACGCCGUAAACGUUGGGCGCUAGAUGUGGGGACCUUUCCACGGUUUCCGUGUCGUAGCUAACGCAUUAAGCGCCCCGCCUGGGGAGUACGG
rnacentral:rRNA from 1 species